CCCACUCCUAGCUCUUCUUGAAUAUUUGAAAAGAAUUAGAUAAGGGCCAUGGGGACCCAGGUCACCCCACCUCUUCUUUUCAGUUUGGCUACAACAUUGGAGUCAUCAGUGCUCCUGAGACAGUCAUACAGGACUUUCUCAGUUACACUUUGAAAGAGAGGUCAGAAGACUCUCCCUCUGAGGUUUUGCUCAUGUCCCCCUGGCCCUUGUCUGUGGCCAUCUUCCCCAAUGGUGAUAUGAUUGGCUCCUUUCUGUUGCACUCUUUGUCAACCACUUUGGCAGGUGCAGUUCAAUGCUUAUCAUAAUUUGUUGGCUAUUACUGGUUGCCUUAUGGGAUUCUGCAGACAAGCUGAGUUGGUUGAAAUGCUGAUCCUGGGCCACUAGAUUACUGGCUUGUAAUGCGGACUCUGCACAAGUUUUGUGCCCAUGUACAUUGGAGAGAUCUCGCCUACUCCCCUUUGGGGUACCUUUAGUGCUCUCAACCAGCUGGACGUCGUUGGUAUUCUGGAGAUCCAGAUCUUUGGUCUGGAGUUCAUCUUGGGGUCUGAAGAGCUAUGCCCAGUGAUACUGGGCUUUACCAUCCUUCCAGCUGUCCUAUAAAGUGUAGCCCUUCCAUUUUGCCCUGGAAGUCGUAAGUUUUUGCUCAUUAACAGAAAGGAAGAGUACUAAUGAGAUCCUUCAGCAAUUGUAGGGGACUCAGGAUGUGUCCCAGGACAUCUAGGAGAUAAGAGUGCUAGGAUGAUACAAGAAAAGCAAGUCACUACACUGGCGCUCUUUAGAGUACCCAGCUACCAACAACCCACUGUCAUUUCCAUCAUGCUCCAGCUCUCUCAGUAGCUCUCUGGAAUCAAUGUUGUCUUCUAUUACUCAAUGAGAAUCUUCAAGGAUGCAGGUGUUGAGAAGCCAAUCUAUAGAUUAGUGCAGGAGUGGUUAAUAUUAUCUUCUUGACUGUAGUCUCUCUGUUUGUGGUUGAAAGGGCAGGAAGGACUUUACAUAUGAUAGGUCUUGAGGCAUGGCGUUUUGUUCUGUCCUCAUGAUUGUUUCUUUGUUAUUAAAGGAUGAGUAUGGUGGGAUGAGCUUUGUCUGUAGUGGGGCUAUCUUGGUCUUUGUGGCCUUCUCUGAAGUUGGACCAGACUCCGUUCCCUGGAAUACUGUGGCCACACUCUUCAGUUUGCAAUAGCAGUGGCUGGUUGCUCCAACUGGACCUCCAACUUUCUAGUUGGAUUGCUCUUCCUGAACAAUUAUUAUCUAGUUUAAGUGUGUUGUUGCUUUAGGGUCAUGGCAUGCUUAUGUAUUUCUGUUACCAUCUGACCAUGGUACUAUGCCAAGUUCUCUUAGGGGACCUGAAUCUUUCCAGUAGACCACAUUUGAGAGAGUAUGAGUCAACUGGGCAUAGUUCCCAACAACCCAAAAUACAUACGUACUUCACUGAAGCAGAUCUCAUGAUUCCA
rnacentral:lncRNA from 1 species